rnacentral:rRNA from 1 species
UACGUAGGGAGCGAGCGUUGUUCGGAGUUACUGGGCGUAAAGCGCGCGUAGGCGGUUUUGCAAGUCGAGUGUGAAAUCCCCAGGCUCAACCUGGGAACUGCAUUCGAGACUGCAUAGCUAGAGUAUGGGAGAGGGGAGUGGAAUUUCAGGUGUAGCGGUGAAAUGCGUAGAUAUCUGAGGGAACAUCAGUGGCGAAAGCGACUCCCUGGACCAAUACUGACGCUCAUGUGCGAAAGCGUGGGGAGCAAACAGG